UACGGAGGGGGCGAGCGUUAUUCGGAAUUAUUGGGCGUAAAGCGCACGUAGGCGGCUUAGCAAGUCGGAUGUGAAAGCCCUCGGCUCAACCAAGGAAGUGCAUCCGAAACUGCUGAGCUUGAGUACUUAAGAGGAUCGCGGAAUUCCCGGUGUAGAGGUGAAAUUCGUAGAUAUCGGGAGGAACACCGGUGGCGAAGGCGGCGACCUGGGUAGAUACUGACGCUGAGGUGCGAAAGCGUGGGGAGCAAACAGG
rnacentral:rRNA from 1 species